UAAUAUGUAUCUUUUUGCUGACGCUUGAGGUGCCAUAGGGCAGCAGAUGCAUGAAUGAUAAAGUGCAACGUAGCACAAUUUAUACAAUAUGAAGGUAUGAAAGGGAAGAAAAUCAUGCGCGAAAUAAAAUGAAUGCAGGAACAACUAAACAGGACCGCUGAGCGAAGAAACAGAACAUUCAAGUAACAAAGGAUGUACAGUUGCAAAUAAUAGCAUUGUUUGAACAGAAGAUGUGAAGCCAUCUGCCGCUUCCCAGGGCCCUCAGCACACAGGAUUGUUUUUUUAUUAAACAAAGUAGAACCUCUUGAUGCAUCAGUAAUUCAAAGCUUUCUGAGUAUGCAAGGCAAAAUAGCUCAACAUCCAGUUCGCUAUGAGCAUUUCUCGUAAGUGUUGUAGACGACAAAAUAUACUACAGUUAGAUCCCAAUACUGCUAUAAAUCAUUAACAGAUUACAAGAUUAUAUGCAUAAUCACAUAACCACAAAUUGUAGAAAGAGAGGUCGUAUUUAUUAAAAGAAGAAAUGGGAGGCUCAGAGUUGGCUCGUCUAUCAUAUGGGCAAAACGCACUCUGUAUCCGAUACACUUGGUGAUACACGUUGGAGAUGCCCCUGUGUGACAUUUCAGCAUUCCAAUGGUUGCUCACGGAAAGCAAGCAAUCCUCAUUUGAACGCUUCCACCUAGUCACACAAAACCCUAACACAUACCAUAAAUACAAGUGAUGGUAUCUGAGAUCUCAAUAAACCCCUGAAUGAGCGCCUUACUCAUCAUCGUCAUCAACAGCACUUUGGCGCAAAUCCCACAAAGAGAAUAACAGAUGACCAGAAACCACAGGAGAAUCAGUAAAAGCAGAAAGAAUCACUAUAUCAGGAGCAAAUCAUGAACUGGUGAACACAAAAACUGGAACAUGUAUAAGUAAAUGGCUCAGAUACACUUCCAUCUCAACACCAUAAGUGAAUUUCUGGUAGGAUGACCAUGAACAUUUAUAGUAUUUGUGAACGGAGGGAGUAAUAGUUAGCCGCUAAACUGGUUACUUGCUGUGACACAAGCCAUCCUAGUUUAGCACCAAGUGAAUCAAUUCAGGUGUUAGAUAGAAGCUCUCACAGGGACGCUAUAUCAUCACAGCCAUUCAUGAACAUGACACGAAGAAAACAGUAAUCUUAACAUGCCAUAUACGACCCUUAAGUUGAAACUUGAAACCAGUAAAGAAGUAACGAGAAACCAAAAGUACAAACUGAUAAGUAGAUAAAGAAUACAGCAGAAGAAUGAAAUUAUCAAGUCAAAUUGAUAGGGAGACGGCAGGCAUCACCACCAGCAUCCUUCCUCGUCGAUGCCUCUCCCUCACAGAUGAAGCUUUAUAAGGACAUAGGGAUGGCAUGCAUUGAUAGUGGAAGUUAAGGAGGACUACAAUGGCAAAUAUCAAUAAGAAAAUUUGACAAUGGAUGCAAAAACAGGACCAAAAACUGAAAAAUAGCAUCAACAAGAAUCUGCUUUUAAAUUGGUUCAAUAAAAAGAUUUCACACCAUCUCACCUUCCCAGAAGGUCCACACAAAGAACCAGAGCCAUAACAAAGAACCCAAAGCCAUAGGUAAUGCCAGGUUUCUUUUUCAAGCUACAGGCCCACAAUGUACAGAAUAUAUACAACUUAAUUUUCGCAAUGAGCCCAUGACCAUUCACAGUUACCAAACAGGUAUUCUUAAAAUCAAGAAGAAACAGAGAAAGUUAUUAGGGAAAAUCAAGCUGUUUUCUGGAAUAUAUUCUAAAGUUACUCACUGAUCAAAAUUACUAUAACCAAACAGUAGUAGAAGUAUCAGACACAGGUGUCAUAACAAACACAUGCACGAAUAGUUCGCAAAAUCCACAAAAAAGUUGGAGUAUUACUUGAAUGGCUCAGAUUUAACCCACCAUAUAUCACCAAAGUUGGAAAAUGCUUCAGGUAGGCCUUUCGGUACCAAACAACAACAACAACAACAACAACAACAACAACAACAACAACAACAAAGCCUUUCAGUCCCAAACAAGUUGGGGUAGGCAUGUGGAUAGCUAAUUUCCAUACACCCCUGCCCAUGGCUAGUUCUUUGGUGAUAUUCCAGUCCUUCAGGUCUCUCCUUACCAUCUUUCUCUCUCUCUCUUUCCUCGCCCAGCAACAAAUAGCCGCAACUGGUAACUUGCUGUGGAGCAAGGCCUCCUAGUAUAACGACUAACUGCUAACUGGGCAAAGUUGAAUGGAACCAAUCAUCUCUAUCUCAGGAUAUGUUGAAAGAUCUCCAACACCAAAGAGGAGGAAAUCAUCAUAGCCAUUCAGAAAAGAAUAGAACUCAUCAACACAACAGAAACAAAUAUGCUGUGUUCAGAACUUAAUUUGGAACACUAUGCUGAUGGCCGUAUUACUAGCAAUGAAAGAAGCAAUUUACAUUUGUUCACUUCAGAAAAAAGGAGUAACUGCAAGCCAAACAAAAACAGGACAACAGAAAUUUUCCAUUUUGGAAAAUAAGAAAAACAUAAGGUAGAAAUCCGAGUCAAAAACAAUAGUGUGUUCGACAUAUAUAGUUUGUGCAACUAUACAGGCAAAAACAAAGCCAGCUAGAAAUCAAUCCAAGCUAGGGCGGUUGGCUUCAUCACCAACAGAAGACAUCAAUCCAAGUCCAGAUGGGACGUUACUCACAUCAACACAAUAGAGAGGAAUAGAAAAGAAAAAACAAUGCGUAAUAGAGAAGGUAAAAUCGAAUAUUUGUGGCGUAGCAAAAGAGGGCUCAGUUUUGCCUUUCGUCUUCAAGCCCAACACUCACAUCUCUUGCUGCAUAAUCUACCCAUCGCGAAUGUAUAAGAACUGUCCUGGUUAUCAUUCAUCAGAAUGACCGUCCAAGGCGCAGAACAUAAAACAUUAGCAAUGAAUUGAACAGGCUGCAAGAGAGGUAAGGGUGUGCUCUAAUUUAGUACCCAUAGGCCACAGUUGUCUUAAUUGCUCAAGACACGCUUAUUUCAGCCACGGUCAUCAUCAUCGCCCCUGGUAAGAACUCCAUCUCUUCAUCACACAGUAGCAUGCAUACAUCAUCUAUCCAUCCAUCAGGCUGGUCAUAGUGGUAAGUAAAUUGUGCAUCCAUGAUAUCCAUUACAGGUAUGCACGCAUCCAUCCAUCCUCUUUAAUUACUUGUCGGAUCAUCUUUUUUGCCUAUGUGGCAUGCAUGUUACUACUCCCUCCGUUCCAUAAUUACUGUCGUGGCUUUAGUUCAAUCUGAACUAAAACCUAAGUUACUCCCACUAUGACUAGUCCCAGUCUCAGGAGCUGCUCACUGACCAAACCUCCGAGUGUGGACGACGCAUCAGACAACGCCUUACGGUUCCCAGCCCACGCCACAACUAAAUCCAAGGCAAUGGAAUGGCAGUGGCUGGCAGCACCGUAGAGACGGAGAACUGACGUGGCAGCCACCCGGGCGAUGGGGUAGCAAGUCGGCAAUGAGAGCUUGACUGGUUUGUUUUAGAGAGAGAGAGAGAGAGAGAGAGAGAGGCGAGGAGGAUCCAUACCGGAUCCAAAACAAAAUGCAACUGAACUGAGUAUAUGUAGCAUAGCAAAAGAGGGCUCAGUUUUGCAUUUCAUCUUCAAACCCAACACUCGCAUCUCUUGCUCCAUAAUCCACCCAUCGCAGUGUAAGAGAACUGCACUGGUAAUCACUCGUCAGAACGACCGUCCAAAGGGACAGAACAUCCAACAUUGGCAAUGAAUUGGACAGGCUGCAAGAGAGGUAAGGGUGGGCUCUAAGAGCAACUCCAACAAGGAUACCGAUUUUCUGGCACUGCUUAGUCCCACCUCGCCGAGCUGUCUUGAUUGCUCAAGACAUGAUUAUUUCAGCCACAGUCAUCAUCAUCGGCAUCACCCCUCUUUUUUUUCCAAAAAGGAGGUUGAACCCCCAAGCAACAUGACCAUGAUAUCCGUACAUACAUACUCCCUCCGUUCCAAACUAAGUGUCAUGGUUUUAGUACACGACACAUUAAUGCAGCCAUCCUUCUCAGGAGCUGCUCAUACCUGGCGUCGGCCGACCAAACUUCCCAGUGCGGAGCACGCAUCAGACAACACCGUGCGGUUCCUCCCAGCCCACGCCACAACCAAACCCAAGGCAAUGGAGCAGCGGUGGCUGGCGGCACUGUAGCGGUGGGGAACUGACGCUGGUCGGCGAUCCGGCAACGAGAGCUCGCCUGAUUUGGUUCUGGUGGUGUGAACUGCACGCGCGCACGCACGCACCGAGAGAGAGAGAGAGAGAGAGAGAGAGAGAGAGAGAGAUGGGGACCGUACCGGAUCCAAAGCGAAACGCAGCCAAGCUGCGAGAAAUCCAUGGACGGCGGCUCAGAUCCCGCGCCGGCCCGACCAAGCCCUCGACCGGAGCGCACCACGGGCACCAGCAGCCCGCACGGCCGCGGACGCCUCCCGCACCGGCGGCAGUCCCGAGGGGCCUGCGAGCCGAUGCGCGAUCCGUCGCAGCGGGAGGGGCUGGCCCCGAGGGAGCGGCGACGCGGCGCGUCCGUCGGUCGGUAGCUGGCCGGCGCCGGCGGCUCCCUCCGUCAUCGCCGCCGUCAGGAGAGGGACGCGGUCAUCGGCCACGGCGAGAGGGACGGGCGCGGCGGCAGGAUUCGGUGAGAUAUGGAUAGAGCGCUCGCAUGCUAUGCUCCGCCCCGCGCGCAGCCAUGCCGCCGGUGGCCUCUCGCAGCCGGAGUGGUCCGAGGCAUAGCUAGCUAGCUAGGGUUCGGCGCCGGCGGGAGAAGAUGGGUCCAGAUCCAGGUCCGGCUGUAGAUGCUGUAAAUAAGGACCAGUGAAAGGGUCAUUUAGCAAAAACAAUACUACUACUCCAAAUGCAUGGAGGGGAAGGGGAAUGAGAGCACGUGUUGAGGUGAGGGGAGGGGAAGAAGGAUGAAAGCAGCCUGAGGGGAGGGCAGGCGUGCCCUAGAGUCAGACCGAGUGCACGUGUCCCGUGUUGUGCCUUGACGGUCAGUCGAACAUAAAAAUUGAAAAAAAAAACAUACAUAAAUCUUCGUGUAAAAUCAAUGAUAGAAUUUAGAUGUGCAAUGCGUAGAGUACAUCUAGAUGUGCUUUAGCAAAAUCGUUUUCUCGUGUCCUCUCCAUCAAAGACAUUGUUUAACUUAGGCCAACCUCAACGCGGGCGCUCCAACGGACGCGGAUGUUGCCCUUUUUUGUAUGUUUGGGUUGGCUAGGCAAACGGUCAAUGUUCGAUUUUUGUCCGCCGAACCAUAGAUUAGCCCAACGCGGACGACAGAUUUCAGAAUUAUAAAAAACUAGAGCCAAGAAAAAAAAUAAUGAAAUAGCCACCAGAAGUCCAGUUUACAUAAAUUAAAAUGAAAACAUAAAAAAAAUGAAAAUGAAAACAGGCACACGGUGGAUGCAGGCAGUGGCGGCGGCGUCAUCCUUCUCGGUCAAGUCGACGUACACCGGCGCAUCCAUCCACGAAGGCUGCUAGCGCCGCGCUGCACCUGUCGCCGCCUGCUGGACCGGUUGAGUGGUGUGUACAUGUGUGUCGUCUGCUGCUUGGCUACCAACGACGCGUGUCUCGGCCUCCUACAGGUGUCGUUGCUUCUCCUCUUCGUCACGCCUAGCGGAACAGGCGUGCCCAUGAAAUUGAACGCCGCAACUCCUCGAGCACAUGCGAUGCUUGCGGGUAAACCUGGGCAAACGUCGGGCCGGGCUUGUAAAAGCCCGACCUUCAUUUCUCAAGCCCGAGCCCGGCCCGAAGCCCGAAAUACUCCCUGAAAUCAAGCCCGAGCCCGGCCCGAAAUCAAGCCCGAAGCCCGAAAGCCCGGCCCGAACGCUGUUUUUUAGUACGUGUACGUGCAAGCCCGGCCCGAAGCCCGAAAGCCCGGCCCGAAAAAUAGAAAAAGACAAGCCCGAGCCCGGCCCGAACUACCUUUCGGGCUGCAAAACAAAGCCCGAGCCCGGCCCGAGUGUCAAGCCCGGCCCAACCCGGCCCGGGUUUUUCGGGCCGGGCUCGGGCCGGGCUGCCCAUGCCCGGGUUUACUUGCGGGUGUGGCCGCGGCCCGUUGGUCUCCACGCCGGUCGUUUAACUAAUUAAUGUUGAACCUUAUACUCCCACUAUUCCUUAAUACAGUGCAUAUAUGUUAUCUUAAAAGCCAAACUUUAUUAACUUUGACCAAGUUUAUAGAGAAUAAAAUACUUUAUAUAAUAAGAUGGACUAUCUCAUAUUAUUAUGUAUGUGAUAUUGUAGCUGUAGAUAAUUUCACCCAUAAACAUGUUUAGAGUUGACUCCUAAAAUAAUUUAUAUACACUAGAAGUAUUAAGCCUAAAACCUUACACACUCAAGACCACUUGUACCAUCGUUCAGGACAAAGGCCACUUCAAAGUUAUUGAUCCUAGGCCCCACGAUCAGCAGGCAUCGGCCUGGCUCGAUGAGAAUUUUGGGGGCCAUUGCUUUGGUUGAAGGAGAUUUACAUCUCCCACAAGGACCGGACGUGAAUACCCCGCAAAAAGAAAAGGACCGGACUUGAAGCACGAGAUGUGAUGUGUCCUCAUCCUAAUACUCUUUCGCUUUAUGUAUUUUCAACUUGUCUAGAUCACUCUCAUCGGUGUUAUUAAGCCAAAUCAUCAUUUCAUCUCAAGACUCAAUCUACAUGUGCCCAUCAUGUACCCCAACAAACGAGCAUAAACCCCCACCGAACCAGCCUAGACAAAGAUUACACCAAAAAGCGACGAGUCGGCCCACUGCAUGAAAUGCAGAAGAAAAGAACUGGCUUCGUGGUGGACCAAUAUGUCAAAGCCCAAUACCGCAAACCGGAAGGCCAUGGCUUCCCUAACAAUGCUCAUCUCUUGGGUUAUUUGAAACGAGAGAAAUUCUAGUGUUUAGAAAGAAAUCCACUAACAUUGUCAUGCUUAUCCACCCCUUCUACAUUCUCAAGCUCAUCCAGGACGAGGCAAGGCUUUUGGAUCACAGCGGGAGGUAGGCAUCUGAGCAUCAUCAUGCCGCACUUUUUUGUGUUGGUAGGUGUUCGUGAUGUAUAGUUAUCUCUAUUGGGCUAUGAUGUGGAACCAAUGUGAUGUGGAGUCAAGAAUACCAACAUGAGCAAAAUCCAGUUAGGUAGUUAUCGCAGAGAAAAAUACACCCUCUGUACUAAAUUUAAGCCGUUAAUAGGCCAUUAAAUUCUAGCUCUGCAUAACCCGGCAAUCCGGCCCAUGGGCACCCGAACCGAAUAAUAUUUAUAUGUAUAGAUUGUACUCCCUCCUUCCGGGAAAAGUUGUCACCGUGGCUUUUUUGCAAAAAAAAAAACCUUUGCUUUAGUCCGACACAACCCGCACUCCUCCGCCGCUCCUCUGCUCUGCUCAGCUCUACUCAGCUCCCUCGCUCGUCCUCCGCCGCAGCUCCCCUGCUCCGCUGCCUGUCCCCUCCUCCGCCGCCUCCCUGCUCCCGGUCCAUUUCCCCGUGCAGCUCCCGCCUCCCAUACCUAAAAAUCAUGUCUUCCCCCAAUCAACGGCAGCGAGGACGAAGCGGCGCUCGAUCUAGAGGGCACGGGGACGAGGGCAGCGACAAGUGUAGUUCUUAAUGAUGCAGAGCGCGGUGGAUGCUCCGGUGGGCUUCUACGGUGAACUCCAUCCUCUCCCUCCCCACCACCAGGACCACCUCCGGUCGCUCCCUUCCGCCCCGCGCCGCAACCACCCUCCCCUUCCCAAGAACCAUCGCCAGACCAUGUUCAUGUCGUCGGAAGGCGGGAGCACCAACGGCUCGUUGCUGGGGCUUCCCCCCUGGACGAGGAGGAGGACAACGAGGCCUGCCCCGUCAAUGGUUGCUGCUGAAUUGCAGUAUUCCUCGGGUCACGACGGUUGCUGUAUGUCCCAAUGUCAAAGGUUUGACAUUUGUUGCUGCUGAAUUGCAGUAUUCCCCGGGUAACGACGGUUGCUGCAUGUCCCAAUGUCAAAGGUUUGACAUUUGUUGCUGCUGAAUUGCAGUAUUCCUCGGGUCACGACGGUUGCUGUAUGUCCCAAUGUCAAAGGUUUGACAUUUGUUGCUGCUGAAUUAUGAAUUCUCAUCCUCUUUUCUUGUUGAUGUUGAAUGCUAAAUUCCGGCGAGCAGCUCCUCAGGUCGCCGGGCUUCUGGUGAAGAUCUUCGUGUGGGUCCUCGAGAUGCCGGUGGUGGGCUGGAUCUUGCUCUACAUCCUCAAGAAGGACAAUCUCAUCAACAAGGUGCAUGCACUUGUGCUGAAUGUUUUUUUAUGCCUGAGCGUCGCAAUUCUGAUUCUCAAUUCUACUCGCAUGUGUACGAUGUUUGUUCACCUGUAGGCAUUGAUCAGUACAGUUUCACCAAAGCAAUCUCUGGGCACAGUUAUUUUACAGCAGACAAUUCACUCUUCUGUGGUGUUUUUACUUUUUGCUGAAAUGCUCUGCUGAUUCAGAAAAACCAUUAGCUGCUGUUGCUGCAGACACCCUAGCCAAAUUCAGUUAACUUAAUCUGAAUAAUUCAGUUAACUUAACAGGGGAGCGUGUGUAUGCUGCGAACGAAUGCAUUUACUGAAUGUUAUUUUGAGGGACAUGUUUUUAUCAACUCUUAGUUAAGAUAAAUUAACCGUGUAAGGUGCUCUUUUGAUUACUAGUGAAGUGCUGCUCUAAAUAUCAUUGCAGCAAGAAAAACUUCAGUUUACUACAGUUUUCAGUUUGGAAUAGUGCACAAAAGACAAAUAGAUUCCUAUGCACUAUUGUGCGCUAUUCGGAGCACAAUUCAGUGUACUGCAGUUUAUUGCAUAAUUGUGCACUUUUUUAACACAUAACUUAGUCUGAAAAAAAAUUAAAAGCAACAAUGUCUAUUCCUGCUACCCUAGUUGAUCUAGUUAUGCAAAUGUUCAGAAAUGUCCAGUUUGUACAUUUUGAAAAAAGGCUGCCAUGGCCACAAAGGAUGCCAUGCAAGAUUGUUCACUUAAACUUCACUGUACAGCAACUUAAAUUUUGUGCAUCUACUGUUUACUCCACUGUACAAACUUGAAUUUGUGUGACAUGAGCUUUUGUUGGUUGCUACUCCACUAGAUAUUGACUGAUUAGACUAAACUGUAGGAUAGUGGUGCUGGUCCAUCUAGGGCACUACUCCCAUUUUUGCUCACAAUUAUUCAGAUAAGGACUACUCCUAGUAACAAAACAGAUCAUUUACUGAAAAUAGCUCUACAUAUUUUAGCAAUAGCUCUACAUUUACUGAAAAUAAACUUGAUGUACUGAGAAGAAACUUGGGCAUUGUUUACUGAAAAUAAACUUUAUCUACUGAAAAUAAACAAUCACUGAUCAGCAGCAGUUCUCAUCACCAUGAUAAGAUAAGCCAGAUGCUCUAUUUUUAAUUAACAGUAAUCCAUGAUCAGCAGCAGUUUCUUUCACUAAUUUUCAGUUAACAACAAUCCAUGAUUUUUUUUAUCAAGUGUGAUUUUGGGUAAAUAAGCCCUCUGUAAUUUAGAUCUUUACUACUGUCAAGUCUGACUUGUCAAUGAGAAACCAGUAACUAGUCAAUGUCAAAACUGUGAAAACUGAAAACAAAUUCAGUAAAUUUGAUCUUUUAUGCUGCAUUGCUGAAAAUUGACAGUAAAUUUUCAUGUACUGAAAUGAAGGCUCAAUGCUGCAUUGCUGACUGGAUAAAUUCAUUGCUGAACAAUUUCUGAACUUUAAUUUGUUCAUUGCGUAUAUGAAGGCUCUCUAGCACAUCAGGAUGAUCCACUCAUCAAAUUACAGACUAGAUGAUCCGCUGCUACUCUAAUUCACCUCAAUUUGAUCUGCACAACAAAUUAACAUCAAUUUGACAUUGAUUUCAGGGCGCUGGCUACCUUUCAGUAGCAGCAGAGGCGGCGAGGAGGAGCUGGGUCGCCUGGACGAAGAAGAAGAAAUCGGCAAGGAGGAAAGGGUGGGCGGCGGUGGUCGCCUCUGUAGCAGGUGGGCGGCGGCGUUGGGCCCUACAGUGUUUGCGCUGGUCACCUCGGUGCACGGCAGUGGAGCAGCGGCUGCCCGAGGUCUUGCCCAACUCCCACAGCAGAGUGCCCGGCCUUGGCACGCCGGGGUUGCGACCGGAGAUGCCGGGGUUGCGACCGGAGAUGCGAGCAGAACGACGAGUAGAGCCGCCCAUGAGCCGUGGAAUCACCGCCCGUCGAGGUGUCGCCGCGGAGGAGCAGGUGGGCGGCGGCAAAGCUCGCCUCCGCAGCGCAACUAGGCAAGGGCGGCGCAAGAUGGCAGCUGCGGGGCAGGUGGGCGGCGGCGCAAGUGGGACUUCAUCACGCGGUGCUCGCAGGCGAUGGGGGGAGACGAAGGCUAGAGCAUGCGGUGCCGGCGGGCGUCAGGGGAGGAAGAAGGGCUGAUUAGAACUAGAUUUAAAAUGAAAGGUUUUUUUUGUAAAGUUACAAUUGAACUACGCUGGUGACAACUUUUCCCGGACGGAGGGAGUAUAUUGGUAGUACAGUUGCAUCGAGGGGUAACGCAUAAAGCCAAGCCACUGACGUUAGCUAUCAAAAAUUUCAUUCCAAGCCAUGACAACUAAUAUUCUCGCACUCGGUUGCAUCCAAAUGGACAAGCAUGCUACCAGAUUGACCAUAUGGAUUACAGCACCGCCAACCACUUGUAUAUAUGACUUGAACAGGCAUCAGCCCAGAGAAGGGUGGACAUAUAAAAAAGCUUCAUUGCUGCUCCAAGGCAUACUUAUUACAACUAAUCAGAAAGCAUCAUCAGAACUAAUCAGACUUGAAGUACUUCAUGGUGGUAGUUCAUACUCUUGUAGCUUGUGAUUAUCUAAUAUCAAGAUUUCUAGGCGGGCAAUUUUAUUCAUAUACGUUUCAUGAAAAUUAUGUCGUUAAAGGAGGUAGUAGUUCAAGGUAGCCCACUGAAAGCUAAGGAAUUAACCACAUAGGAGAUCAAGAUGUAGAAUACACUGAAGUUCAAAUGAACAUAUUACUGGAAAUAUCAACGGUGCAUAGAAAGGGGGCAACACACAAGAGGCAAACAUAGACAUAUAUAGGGGAGGAGUGCUGCAGAUUAGGCUGCACCCCUGUGGGCCCUGGGAGUAAGCAUGUAGGCACGCAAUAUCCAACGCAUUCAUAUGGGCAAACCCCACUCUAUAUCCGAUACACUUGGCGAUCCGCGUUGCAGAUGCUCUUACACCCCUGUGUGACAUUUCAGCAUUCAAAUGGUUGCUCACUGAAAGCAAGCCAUCCCAAUUUGCACGCUUCCACCUAGUCACACAAAACCCUAACCCUAACACAUACCAUAAAUACAAGUGAUGGUAUCUGAUCUCAAUACACCUCUGAAUGAGCCUUACUCAUCAUCGCCAUCAACAGCACUUUGGCGCAAAUCCCACAAAGAGAACAACAGAGAAGCCAAUAGUCAAAGAGCGCAAGAUGGCAAGGAACCACAGGAGAAUCAGUAAAAGCAGAAAGAAUCACUAUAUCAGGAGCAAAUCAUGAACUGGUGGACACAAAAACUGGGACAUGUAUAAGUAAAUGGCUCAGAUACACUCCCAUCUCAACACUAUAACUGAAUUUCUGGUAGAAUGACCAUGAACAUUUAUAUUUGUGAACGGAGGGAAUAACAGUUAAGAAGGGAGCCUUGGAGCAGCGGUAAAGCUGUAGCCUUGUAACCUUGAGGUCAUGGGUUCGAGUCCUGGAAACAGCCUCUUGCAGAAAUGUAGGGAAAGGCUGCGUACUAUAGAUCCAAAGCGAUUGGACCCUUCCCCGGACCCUGUGCAAGCAGGAGCUACGUGCACCGGACUGCCCUUUAGGGAGUAAUAGUUAGCCGCUAAACUGGUUACUUGCUGUGACACAAGCCAUCCUAGUUUAGCACCAAGUAAAUCGAUUCAGGUGUUAAGAUAGAAGCUCUCACAGGGAGGUUAUAUCAUCACAGCCAUUCAUGAACAUGAUACGAAGAAAACAGUAAUCUUGACAGCUGAACUUGCCCUAUACGACCCUUAAGUUGAAACCAGUAAAGAAGUAACGCGAAACCAAAAGUACAAACUGAUAAGUAGAUAAAGAGUACAAUAGAAGGAUGAAAUUAUCAAGUCAAAUAGCAAUUGAAACAAGCAAACUGACCCAGCACCAAAUAAGAUAGUUUCAAAAGCCAUCCAAGGGACAGCAGAAUUAUCAUAGCCAUUCAAGAAGAAGGAAGAAACGGAAAAAGGAAAAAAAACAGAAGAAAUAAUUAAGUGUGGCUGGAGUACUGUUCCUAAAACAACAGAACUCGUUGACUACUGCAAAACCAACAAAAUGUGUAGGAAAAAAGGAAAAACAGUCCCUUGCAUCCACCAGACCAUGAUUUUACCGAAAGAACUAAUAUCAUAACCAAACUCUCAACAUAUCUUUAACAUAUACAUGGAUGCGAGCAAGCAAGAAAUACAAAUUCUCAGAAAGGAAAAGAUCAGUUCAAAUUUUGGGAAGGAAACACUUAUUUUUACUCAGAACUUUAUUGGGCGGGAGUCUCGGAAUUGGCCAAUUUAUAGAAGGUAGUCAUGGUAUUUUUGCAACAAGAGAUUAUAAGAGGUAGAUACAGGCUUAUGACAACAUUGUGUUUUUCCACGUAUUGCCUUCUAUAAGCAAUUAAAAUGGUCAUCAGCAGAAAGCAAACCGUGCAAAUUGUAUUCCUUGAGACCAGUUAGCAGUUGCUGUGCUGGACCAAAACAGUAGAAAAGAAGUUUGACAACUUGCCAACUUGAAUGUACAUCACUGCCAAAAGAACCAGUAAAAAUUUAAUAGGGGUAGUAAAUAAGGACAUGGAAUAUGACCAAAGAACUAGCCAUGGGCAAUUGGGCAGGGGUGCGAGGAAGCUAGCUAUCCAUGUGCCAGAACCAUGAGUUGGUUGCGAGAUCCUAUGGGUUUGCUGUUUUCCAUGUGCCAGCUCUAGCCUACCCCAACUUGUUUGGAACUAAAGGCUUUGCUGUUGUUGUUGGUAGUAAAGGAGGACAUGCACAGAUCAUCUUCCGCAUAUUUAACCACUCAACAGAAUGACCAUCCAAGACAGAGCCAUCAAUAUUCGGUCAGAAUGAAAAGGUCAUAAAAGAGGGGAGAGCGUUUUUUUAAUACCCACGGCUCCUCGAAUAAUCGAAGACAGGUUUAUUGUCAGCCAAGUUUGAUCAUCAUCGCCCCUUAUAAAUAGAUAGAGAGAUCCCUUUGCGCAUGCAACAGGUAAGGGUGAAAAGUCGGUUGGACCAGAUACAGAAUAUCUGCAGCUAAGCACAGUAUCAGCAGCUGGAGGGCGAUUAGAACAUGAGGAAUAGUUCACAAAAUCCUGGGGAAUUUUUGGGGAGUACUAUUUGAAUGAGUGACUCAAACACCAUGAAUCACCAAAGUUGGGAAAUGCUUCAGGUGGUACAAAGUACUGGGAAAUUUUUGGGGAGUACUAUUUGAAUGAAUGAAGUGGUACCAUAAACAAUAAAAUAUCUGUCUCCCUCUCCCUCUCUCUCUCCAGCAACAAAUUGCCGCAACUAGUAACUUGCUGCAGCGCAAGGCCUCCUAGUUUAACGACCAGCUGUCUAACUGGGCAAAUUUGAAUGGAACCAACCUAGGAGACGUGAAAGCAUCUCUAUCACAAGAUAGUUGAAAGAUCUCCAACGCCAAGGGGCAGAAAUCACCAUAGCCAUUCAGAAAAUAAUAAAACUCAUCAACACACAACGGAAACAAAUAUGCUGUGUUCAGAAGUUAACUUGGAACACUGCACUGAUGUCCGUAUUACUGGCAACGAAAGAAGCAAUUGACAUUUGUACACUUCAGAUAAAAGGAGUAACUACAAGCCAAAUAAAAAUAGGAUGACAUAAACUUUCCGUUUUGAAACAGCAGAAAAGCAUAAGCUUGCAAAAAGGGAUGCACAUAAUACAAACAGAAAACAGGAAAUGCAGCUCGCCCGUUUAUCCCAUGAAAAAUGGGUUCUAAUGCUAAAUAGUCAGACAUGUAACACUGGAUAGUGGCAAUACUAUUCCACCAUGAAACUGAACAGCGGUCAGUCCAACCUCUGGCAAAAUGAAAACACAGCCAAAUCAAGAAUACUGAAUAAAAUUUAAAAUAUAUAAUGAGAAGAGGGCCAACCGCCAACAUAUAAAUCCCAAAUGACUCAAGCAAAAGCUCCAGGAGGACAUCCAGUUAUGAUAAGACAAAAUCAAGGUUUUUGAGUCGAUGAGUCGGCGAGUCGCUCAGGGGGGGCGACUCUAGACUAGUCGUGACUCAUGGUCGACGAGUCGACAUGCGAUGAGUCGACGUGAGUUAAGUAGUAGGGAGCAGACCAGCGGCAACUAAGGGAGGAGCCGCAGCAGCAAGAGAUGGGAGGGGCAGACCUGCAGUAGCAGCAACCAAGGGAUGAGCAGCAGCAACCAGGGGAGAAGGGGACGAGCAGCCAGCCAGCGGCAGCGGCUGCUGCAGAAGAGAGCUGGGUCGGGGGAGGGGAGUGGAACUGUUCGAUCUAGGUUUCCAGACGCUCCAAUCUUCCUUCAAUAUUGGCCCAGAAGCAAUAUUAGCCCAAUAAGGCCCAAUGAAACCCUAGCCUGCCUAGCUCAAUCUGAACCAUCUAUAUUCUCUAAUCUUCACCGUCCAUCCACUCUCUUCUUUCUCUCUCUCUCACCUGCUCCCCUUCCAGCCUCCAGGAACGAAUCGACAGCCGCAAUGGCCUUGCUGCAGCUCCUCUUCCAUGGCUUCUCUGCCUUCGCCCCUUCCUCUCCGCCUCCCCCAUCCUUCUCUGCUCCGUUUUCUACGCCCAACUCCUCUUCCAUCACAGGUUGAUCGAGUCGUUCGACUCAAAAACCGCGACUAGUCGAGACUAGUCGGGACUAGUCGAUCAAGUCGCUCGACUCAUCCAAUGAUUCGAGUCGACAGGUUGAGUCAACCUUCAUGUAACGACUCGUCGACUAGUCGACGACUAGUCGCGACUAGUCGUUCGACUCGAAAUCCAUGGACAAAAUAUAAGAGCCUUUCUAACAAAUACACUUUUGCAGUUGAUAAAUUUAUUUGACACUCAUUUCGAAUCCGUGCAAGGGAUCUGUGCCACGUUGAUGCAUCAGAAAUGUGGCAGUUAAUAUUGACAGCAGCAGCUAAAGAAUAGACUAACUACCAAUGAACUAAAUAGCAUAGAGAAUCAUAACAAAAGGUCUGCUCUGACCAAAACAAAUAUGAAGGUAAUAUGAGCUUCAGAUUAUAAAAAACAGAGACAUAGCAGAUCAAAGGGCAAUCGAUAACCAGAUGAAUAGAACUGUCAAUAGCUACAAGCAUUGGAGGAAAAAAGGGCAAUCGUUUGACUCAUAUAUAGUACGUACAACUAGAAAGGCAAAAACGAUGCCAACUAGAAACCAACCCAAGUAAAGCUAGGGUUGUUGGGUUCGUCACCAAGAGAAGAUAUCAAUCCAGAUCCGGAUCUCACAUCAACACAAUAGAGAAAUAGAAAAUUAAAAACAAUGUAUAGUGGAGAAAAAAAAACUGAGUAUUUGUAGCGUAGCAAGAGGGCUCAGUUUUGCCUUUUAUCUUGAAGCCCAACACUCACGUCUCUUGCUGCAUAACCUACCCAUCGCGAUGUAAUUGAACUGCCCUGGUUAUCACUCAUCAGAAUGACCAUCCGAGGCGCAGAACAUCCAACAUUAGCCAUGAAUUGAAUAGGCUGCAAGAGAAGUAAGGGUGAGAGCUCUUAAGGGCAUCUCCAACGCCGGCACCCAUUUGGGGCCUAUUUAGUACCCACAUGCCACGGCUGUCUUGAUUGCUCAACACAUAAUUAUUUCAGCCGCAGGCAUCAUCAUCGCCCUUUUUUUUUAAAAAAAAAAAGGUCAAACCCCCCAAGCAACAUGACCAUAACAUCCAUCAUCCAUCCAUCCAUUCAUCCAUCAGACUAGCCAUAGUGGUGAGUAACUUAGACAAUCUCAGGAGCUGCUCAUACCUGGCCUUGACCGACCAAACCUCCUGGUGUGGACGACACAUCAGACAACGCCUUACGGUUCCCAGCCACGCCACAACCAAAUCCAAGGCAAUGGACUGGCGGCGGCUGGCAGCACCGUAGAGACCGGGAACUGACAUGGCAGCUACCCGGACGAUGGGUCAGCGAGUCGGCAAUGAAAGCUUGACUGAUUUGUUUAAGGGAGAGANNNNNNNNNNNNNNNNNNNNNNNNNNNNNNNNNNNNNNNNNNNNNNNNNNNNNNNNNNNNNNNNNNNNNNNNNNNNNNNNNNNNNNNNNNNNNNNNNNNNNNNNNNNNNNNNNNNNNNNNNNNNNNNNNNNNNNNNNNNNNNNNNNNNNNNNNNNNNNNNNNNNNNNNNNNNNNNNNNNNNNNNNNNNNNNNNNNNNNNNNNNNNNNNNNNNNNNNNNNNNNNNNNNNNNNNNNNNNNNNNNNNNNNNNNNNNNNNNNNNNNNNNNNNNNNNNNNNNNNNNNNNNNNNNNNNNNNNNNNNNNNNNNNNNCUCAGUUUUGCAUUUCAUCUUCAAACCCAACACUCACAUCUCUUGCUGCAUAAUCUACCCAUCACAAUGUAAGAGAACUGCCCUGGUUAUCACUCAUCAGAAUGACCGUCCAAGGUGCAGAACAUCCAACAUUACCGAUGAAUUGAACAGGCUGCAAGGGAGGUAAGGGUGGGCUCUAAUUUAGUACCCACAGGCCAGUCAUCAUCAUCGCCCCUCAUUUUUUACCGAAAAGGAGGUUGUACCCCCGGCCUUUGCCCACCAAGCAAGAUGACCCUCAUAUCCAUACAUACAUACUCCCUCUGUAAAGAAAUAUAAGAGCGCUUAGAUCAUGCUCCCUCCGUUUCUAAAUAUAAGCCUUUAUAGAGAUUCCAAUAUGGACUACAUACGGAGCAAAAUGAGUGAAUUUACAUGCGUGCACAUGUCCACCCAUCCAACCCCAUCAGCCUCAGGAGCUACUCAUGCCUGGCCUGGACCGAACAACCAAACCUGAUGACGCCCCAGAUAACACCGUAUGGUUCCCGGCUCACGCCACAGCCAAUUCCAAGGCAAUGGAACGGCAGAGGCUGGCAGCACCGCAGCAGUGAACUGAAGAGGGCACCACCCAGACGAUUGGACAGCGAGUUGGCAAUGAGAGCUCGACUGAUUUGGCUUAGGGUUAGAGGUAGAGGGGUGGGGGUAUAUGUAGCAUAGCAAAAGAGGCUCAGUUUUGUCUUCCAUCUUCAAGCCCAAACCCUCACCAUCUCUUGCUGCAUAAUCUACCCAUCACGAUGUAAGAGAACUGCCAUGGUUAUCACUCAACAGAAUGACCAUCCGAGGCACAAAGCAACCAACAUCAGCAAUGAAUUGGACAGGCUGCAAGAGAGGCAAGGGUGGGCUCUAAGGCCAACUCCAACGCGGACACCGAUUUGUUCAGCUCUGUUUAGUACCACCACGCCACGGCUGUCUUGAUUGCUCAAGACAUGAUUAUUUCAGCCAUCAUCAUCAUCACCAUCAUCAUUGCCCCUCUUUUUCCCCCAAAAAGGAGGUUCACCCCCCGUCCGGGAAGGCAACAUGACCAUGAUAUCCAGACAUACAUACUCCCUCCGUUCCAAGAUGUACUCCCUCCGUCCCAAACUAAGUGUCAUGGUUUUAGUUCAUGACACAUGAACGCAUACAUCCAUCCAUCCAUCCUGCUCAGGAGCUGCUCAUACCUGGCCUCGACCGACCAAAUCUCCCAGCUCGAACGACGCAUCAGACAACAGAGCACAGUUCCAGCCCACGCCACAACCGAAUCCAAGGCAAUGGAACGGCGGUGGCUGGCGGCUCCGUAGCGGUGUGGAACUGAUGCAGCGGCCACCGGGACGAUGGGUCAGGGAUCCGGCAACGAGAGCUCGCCUGAUUCGGUUUAGGACUUACCGGUGUGAACAAUGCUCGCGCGCAGACACAGAGUGAGCGAGUGUGUGUGAGCCUGAGAGAGAGAGAGAGAGAGAGAGAGAGAUGGGGAUAGUACCGAAUCGAAAGCAACAUGCAGCCAAGCUGCGACGGCGGCUCAGAUCCCGCGCCGGCCCGACCAAGCCCUCGACCGGAGCGCACCACGGGCCCCGCCGCCCGGUCCCCAGCCCGCGCCGCUGCGGACGCCUCCCGCACAGGCGGCAUUCCCGAGGGGGGCCCCCGAGCCGAUGCGUGACGGCGCGGCGGGAGGGGCUGGGCCCGAGGAGAGGCGACCCGGCGCGCCCGCCGCUCGGGAGACCGGCCGGCGCCAGGCGGCUCCUCCAUCAUCGCCGCCGUUUGGGGAGGGACGCGGCCAUCAGCCACGGCGAGCGGGACGGACGGUGCGGCGGUAUUCGAUUGGAUCCGAUUAGAGCGGUCGCAUCGCGUGCUAUGCUCGCCGCCGCACGCAGCCAUGCCGCCGGUGGCCUCUCGCAGCUGGACUGAUCUGAGGUAGCUAGCUAGCUAGGGUUCGGCGGCGACGGGAGAGGAGAAGAGAUGGAUCCAAAUUAAGUUUCUGAUGAAAAUGGUGAUUUAGGCAAAGGUAACCCGAGGAGGCCUGCGAGGGCCGAAUGAAAGAAAGGGGGACUGGUCUCACGGUGCAUUUUCUCUUGGCAUUUUAUUUUAGAGUAAAAUGCACCGGCAGUCACUCUACUUGCGAAAAGCGCUCAGUUUGGUCACUGUACUUAGAGAUACGGCCAAUACGAUCACCCAAUACAACAAGACGUGUUUGUACGAUCACUAUUACUCGUAUGCCACCCGACGCCGCUUGGUUUGACCACGUAUUGACCUAUCCUUGACGACAGCUGGCAUUAAGCAGGCGGUAGCGCGGUGUUUUUGCAGAAUCCCCCCUGGUUCGUUGUGCUUUAGCCCAAAACGCCUUGCCUGUUCGGCUUCGAUCAUAACAGGGGGAGGAGGAGGAGAGCAGGGGCAGAGGAGGCGAUCGUCGGCGGCAGCGCACCAUCUCCGGUCAUCGAGAUCGCGAAAGGGCCGGAGUCGCCGCGGAGGUGCGCCGCAUCUCCUCAGGAUGGCGCUUGUUCGUCGGCCAGAUGGAGCUCCUCCACCGUACUACGGUAAGCCCCACGUACAUCCGCCAUGAUUGGUGCUUGCAGUCUCCGAUUCCGCGAUUUAGGGUUUCGCAUUGUGCACAUGGAGUUAGGAGGCCAAUUUUGCCCGCAAGUUUUCACAAGAUUUAAGCUAGGGUUUUUGCCUAACAAAUUGGGGGUUUCGGUGUAUGGUUUUUGGCUGACAAAUUAGGGGCUAAGUGCUUGUUUGUGGGUCAUUCUGAAGCAAUUGUAGGCCUUUUAGAUGUUUGAACAUACUAUUGGGGUUUUAGGUUAGCAAAGGUGGUUCCUUGUAGGACAGAAUUGUGCAGAAUUGUGCUCUGUUUUCAUCUUUGACAGUUGACAGAAUUGUGCUCUGUUUUCAUCUUUGACAGAAUUGUGCUUUGUUCUCAUCUUUGUAGGACCACGCAGCAGGAAAUUUUUAGUUCAAUUUAACCAUGGUGGAUAUUUCCUUGGCAAAGGUAGCAACCGUUCUUAUGUCAAUGGGCAUGUGUUGUGGUAUCAUGAUUUGGAUACAGUGACAUGGUCCCCAAUCAUGGUUGAGCACCUAGUUGAGGAGAUUGGUUGGGAGAUGGCAGGAAGGCUGAAGGUUUACUACUACAUUCCAAUCCUAACCUUGCAGAAGAAUGGCUUGAGAGGAAUAAGAGGAGAUGGAGACACAGACCAGAUGAUAACCUUUGUUGAUCUUGGCCACCACUCAUUCAGUCUGUAUUUAGACCAUGAAGACAGUCCGAAUUCAAAUGAUGAUGAUGAUGUGGUCAAUUUCCCAAGAGUGCAUCUACCCCCAGUGUUUAGUCCUUCUAAGAAAGAGUUGAUCGGUCAGAAAGUACUGAGGCUGUAAAUGCAGAGACAGAUGUUCAUGUCCCUGAAGGUGUAGGGCAGGAAGGUGAAGCAAUCCCAAUACAAGUUGUGUAUCCAGAGAGCUUAGAUGUUGAUGUGGGCAAUUAUGUGUUUGCAAGGAGGGAUUGUUCUUUUGGUAACCAGGAUGAAAAUGCUGCAGCUCCAGAUGAUCUCCAGGAAGCAAUACAACACGGAAGUGAUGAAGCUGGAUUAUCAAGAGUAUGCAAAAGGAAAAGCAGACAGAAAAGCAGUUCUGAUUACAUUGAAGAUGUUGAUAGUGACUCAGAUGACUCUGACUUUGAUCCUGGAGCCAUAGUGGACAGUGACUAUGACAUUAGUGAUGGUGAUGAUGAUUUCUAUGCUGACAAUGUAGACAUGGAUGAGCCUGUGGUGACAGAGAAGAAGAAAGAAGAGAAAGGGAAGCAAAAAGUUGAAAAGGGAAAAGAAGCGGUGAAAGGAAAUGAGAAAUAUGGAGAUAAAGCAGCAGCAUAUGAUCAUGAAGAUGAGUUAUAUGCUGACAAUUUUGUAACCAGUUCUACAAUAUACUUCUUUACCCUACUUAUGACUAUGCUUAAUGCCCUGGUUAUAACAUUGCCCAACAUAUGGUCACAUUUGUCCUUUCCAACUUGGAGCAGUUCCAUAGUUAUUUUGCAAGCAAAAUGAACACAACAUUUCAUUGCCUAAUUUGAUAGCACACACACAAGCAUCAGCAACUAGCUUUGCAAUGCACACACACAAGCCAAAUAUGACAAUGGUCAAAUGUGCCCAAAUUGACAACACACACACACACACACACAAGCAUCAUAAACUAGCUUUGCAAUGCACACACACAAGCCAAAUAUGACAAUGGUCAAAUGUGCCCAAAUUGACAGCAUCACCAUAAGACAUCAAAGAUGAUCCAUUAACUUCCAUUUACAGUACAAGAUUGUCACUUGCAUUACAUAUUACCAGAUACAAUGCAAAAGAUUGUCACUUGACACUAACAAUACUACCACAUAGUACCAGCUCAUCUCCUAACAAACUAGGCAUCAUUCCUAACACACUAACAGUGAAAUAGCCAUACUGCAUGAACUACAUAUUGCAUCUACUCCAUCACUUCUUCAGCAGAGAAAUAACUACAAGCACUGCAACUACAAUGAGUGUUGCCAACAGUGCCUUCAUCAUCACCAAUAUUUCAUUGCCUAAACCUACAAGUGCCUCUGCUUGCUGAUUGCUCAUUUGCCCUGGAACUCUUCCAUGAUUUCCAACUUCAAAGCCUGGAAGUUCAACUGCGCCUCCACCUGCAUAACUUUCAUUCCUUGCUUGCACCAGCUCUUCCCUCCUAUCUUCUGCAACUCCUAAUGCAUCUACGGCUUCAUUGCCCGCGAGAAACUGAUUAUCCAGCAAUUAGCCAAUGUAUUCCAACUCCCAAUGCCAUAAAUGGUCCUGAAGAUCAAAAGAAAAGAACAAAUGCCAAAAAUCACAUUACAAGUUCCCAAGAUUCGACCAAAAUGAAGAACAGGGAUGCACUCCACUUACACCAACAGGACACCUGUAGAAGACCCAACCCUCGUGCUUCUCCGUGUUGGAGAGAUAGAACUUAACACGAGUGCGGCAAGAAGGGCAUCUGAUGAGUGGCACCACCAUCGAACGACCACCGAACGAAUACCUGACCGAGCUCGUCGACAUGGGGAGUGGGAGGGAGAGGAGAGGGAGGCGGCAACCGGCAAGGAGAGGGUGGCGGCAAGCGGCAGGGAGACGCCGCCGACAAGCAGCACGGAAGAGGGCAACGACAAAUAGCAGGGAGAGGGCGGCGGCAGAGUGGGGAAUUAAGGAUUCCGCCACAGCGUGGGGUAUUUCAGGGUGGUCGAUGGAUAAUUACAUGCGCGGGGCUAAUUUGCAGAAAUAACCCUCAUCGUGCCGAUGUGGACGACACUGUCUGGUUAAAGCGAGCGGCGACGGGUGGCAUACGAGCAACAGUGACCGUACAAACACGUGUUGUCGUAUUGGGUGACCGUAUUUGUCGUAUUUCUAAGUACAGUGACCAAACUGAACGCUCUUCGCAAGUUGAGUGACUGCCAGUGCAUUUUACUCUUUAUUUUAUUCAACAAGGUCGGCUAAUUUUUCUACAGAAAACUUCUGAUCUAUUCAUGGCAAUCAUGAUAGUACAAAGAACAUCAAAAGUAACAAAAAUUCAAUUUAAAUUUGUAGAUCAUCUAGCGACGACUACAAACACCGAAGGCGUGGCACCAUCAUCGCCCUACACUCGUCGAAGCCGUGCAAAUUUUGUUGUAGUAGAUAGCCGGAAAGUUGUCGUGCUAAGACCCCAUAGUACCAUAACAACAACCACCGCCGAUGAAAAUAAACUAAGAUUGAAAGGAUCUAACUCGAAGACACAAGAAUAUAUAUGAACAAAGACCGGAUCCGAGCUGAUCCACCAAAAACAACCAUGACUAAACCCCUGUGAGAUACGAUGGAGACACACAUCUACACGCACUCCGACGAUGCUAGACGCACCUUAUGGAUGAGGGCUAGGCGGGGAGAACCUUAUUCCGUCUUCAGGGAGUCAUCGUCGUCCGGCCUUCCACUACACAUAACACAAACCCUAACAAAACUCAAAGAAACAUCUAAAAAUGGAGUCCUCCCGCCGGAAAGGGUCGGGAUCCACCACACCAUAUGGCACUAAGGCCGCAUGAGACGAGGCAGAGCAGAUUGGCGGCGCCAACAGUAGGCGGGAACCCUAGUCGCGUGUUCGCUUGGGAGGAGAGAUGGAGAGAUAAGUUGAAUCGGAACAACGUGUUGGCCAGUUCUUUUGUGGCUUACUUGGAGCUGUGGAAGUUGCCCCUACCCAGUUUAUUCUAAAAGCCUAAUAUAAAAUAUUACUUUAGAAACUUCCUAAUUAAGGGUUAUCAGUCAAACAUGGACCAUCAAUCAACAACAAUUACUAAAUCCACCUCAAACAACGUCCCCCUUCAUAUAGCUAAAAAUAGAGAACCUAGGGCCCGUUCGGAUCCCGUCAUCGCCCGUGCGCAGAACAGACGGGAGACACCAGGGACUGCAAACGUCCCUUGCCGAUUCAUAGAUAGAGCGCAAGGUGAGGGCCUACCGCAAUGAGAAAUGCACGAAAUGACACAACAAUCUACCCAGGUUCGGGCCGCAUGAUUUUGCAAUGCCCUACUACUUCUUCAUGUGUGGUUUAUUUGGUGAGCAGUGGACUACAAGUCCUUUACGGGAACAGUAAGAGUAGUGUACUCCUACCGGUGUUCUACCAAGCAUUCAACCCUCUUCUUAGUAGCCAGGUCCUCCCAAGGGGUAUCAUAAUGGCUUCAUUGCUAAGGAAACUACCUCGCCCCGACAAGGUAGGUACGCGCAUUAAAUGCGCGAUGAAGUGUUAUCGUCUCCUGACUCCCGGGAAUGAACAACCAUCUUUUCACCGCCGCUCAAGGUGGUGCCUUCGUCUGGUCAUCCUUUCAGUAUGUAAGCGGAUGACUUGACCCCGGCGCCGCUGUAACUGCACCGCCCAGGCUGCCUGCUAAGGAUGGCAAUUUUAUCCAUGGAUAUCCGACCCGAAUGGAUAGGGUUUGGAUGUGCUUUUGUGUCCAUGGCGGCGCCCAAACCCGACCCGAUUGUUCGUGGGUAGGGCAUGGAUAUAAUAUUGUACCCAUGGAUAUACCCAAACCCGACCCAAUAGUAUGACUUAAUGGGGGAAAAUGUGCUAUCCCUACCCCACGGUCACAUGUCCCACGACAAUUUUACACUUUUUUUAAUCUAAAACAUGCACAAGAAGUUACACAAUCCCCAUUGUAACUUUUAUGAGUUGACAUUCAAUCCCCUCCGUAACAUACUCCAAUGCCCCUUCCCUUAUUUUUAUCUCCUUAAAUGACUCGUCAUUCUCAUCUGUUAGAAAAAUACUAAAUGAUCUUAGGUUGUUAGUGGAUGUUGAUUUAUCAUAAGUGAAGCCUAGCCUGCCACGAGGUGAAGAAUGGAAGAGUUUAUGUUUAUAUUGUGUUACGUCUUAUUUAUAUGUCUCGAGAGGACCCAAUGGAUAUCUAGUGGGUAUGGAUAUCCAUCGGAUUUGGACAUGGACACAGUUUUUCACCCAUGGAUUUUUUCAUGGGCGGGCAAAGACUGUCUUUAUGGAUAUGGAUAUGGAUUUCAUAUUGUUCAACCCGAUCCAAACCCGACCCAUUGCCAUCUUCACUCAUGACGUGACACAAAAAGGACUGUACAAGCAAGAAGAACUAAUGCCAUGUGUUGUAGAAGAACUAAUGCAAUGAUGCCACAUCACCAAGUUAUGCAUGGAGUCACAAGUUACUUUUUACAUUAAUCCCUUCAUGUAAAACAUACCACCUCAUGCAUGACUUUUUUUUCCAGGGAAUUAAGUCAUGUAAGACACUUUUGCAUCUGUUUUUGCAUUAAUUUUAGUCUUAUUAUAUCAUUUAAUCGUACAUGUUUUUAUUCUUAAAAUAGCUACAAACCACCACCUAGUUUUCCUUUCCACGCAACAAUGCCUCAACAAAGUUAUGCAUGGAGUCAUAAGUUACUUUUUUUAUUAACCCUUUCAUGCAAAACAUACCACCUCAUGCAUGACUUUUCAAGGGAAUUAAGUCAUGUGAGACACUUCUAUAUUUGUUUUUUACAUUUAUUUUAGUCGUAUAUCACUUAAGGUCUUAAGCAUACAAUUAUUUAACAAGGUUCCCGCAGCAACUCGCGGGACAUCGCCUAGUGUUCCGAAACCAUGGUUUCAACACAAGGAAACCAUGCGUUCAACACAAGCUGGGUACUUGUGUGGAUGUCCAUAUCCGAUUGACCAGCUGACCGCUAGUCGCCGUACCUAAACAUAUCUAUACCACUACCAUUUAAUGUACAUUAUUUAUUUAUUUUUGAACCGGGCAUAACCCCUUUCCAUUACUGCGACAUAACGGAAAUACAAACAAGUCCACAGAAUGAGACGGGAGAGGGGAAGCGGGUUCAAGCAUAGCCGAGAAACCUACUGUGAGCACUCGCCAUCGAGAUAAACCACUGUAGGGCAAAAACCCGGCGACACCAAGUCAUUCAGAGUUUCAGACGAGGCAACCCCCAGACAGCUCACAGGUGAGCACCAAAAUGACAGUCCCACACAGGGGAGAGACUUCAGGAAUGAAACAUAAAACCGAGGCAACAUCAGAAAUACGCGUCUUCUUGUGAUGACGCAUCACCAUUCCCUCCAGCAGUUCUCCAGCGAGCUUCUCAGUCUUCGUUUGCAACGCAGAUGCGCAUCAGCCUCAAUGCACUAUUCUUCAGCAUGUCUACACCUGCUCGCAGGUCCACCACAUCCUCUUGCUUCAACAGUCUUGCCCAGUAACCAAGAAAAGCACACAUAGAAAAGCAACAUUCAAAAGGUGUUUGCAAACACUUAGAUUCGAACGUAACACCAUUGCGACAUGUCCAAAUAGCCCAGCAAAGUGCAGCUAUGCCAACUGUGUAGAAAAUCUCCCCACUUGGAAAGUAAACAUAACACCAGGAGUAAGCCUGCCAUAAACUGUUCGGGCACAAAUCAGUGCCGAGUAUGCAGGCAACACUUCUCCAAGUCACCCUAGCUAUAGGGCAAGUUAAGAAGAGAUGCUGAGAAGUCUCAUUCUCUCCACAGAAUGAACAUUUCGGGUUUCCUUUCCACCCUCUUUUUUUCAUCACCUCCCGAGUAAGGAUAGCAUCCUGGAAUAGCUGCCACAUAAAGAUUUUGAUCUUUAAAGGAACACCAGCUUUCCAAACCCACCCAAAACUGCACCCUGUGAUGUUUCUUUCCAAGAAAGAAUAAACCGAUUUGGUCGUAAAGACUUUUUUGGGACCCAGGCCCCACUUAAUGUAAUCUAAUUCAUCAGAUACACAGCUACCUCUAGCCUCCGAAAGAAACAUUGCAUUCAGGUACACUUAAUGUAAUCUCCUUCCAAAGAAAGUUAAAGGAUCUGCCUCCCAGCAAUUUUCCACAGUGCAUUCAGGGGAGUUGCAGAUUGAGAAUAACUGAAGGGAACUGGUCCUUAAAUGGUUUCUGAUCACCAAUGGGAUCGAUCCAAACCCUUGCUAUAUUCCUAGAUUGAAUAAUAACUCUUCUGCCAUAUAAAGGUUUUUCACCUUCAUAAUAGCUUUCCAGCAAGGCGAAUCAUUCACCUUUGCUUUGACAGAAGCUACCGUAUCUCUACCAAGGUAUUUAGCUUUAAUAAUCUCCUGCCAAAGACCAUUUUUGGUCUCCAACUUCCACCACCAUUUAGUAAGAAGGCUUAGGUUUUGCUUAUGUAAAUCUUUCACACCCAAACCACCUUUCUCCUUCGAUCUACAGAUACGAGUCCAUCGCACUAGAUAGUAGCGUUUUCUCUUUUUAGACACUUGCCAAAAAAAUCUUCUACAGUGUUUAUCCAACCUGUCAAUAAUGGUCUUCGACAGGAGGAACAUAGAUAAGUGUACAUUAUAACUGUUGAUCAUUUAAAUCUAGGACAUUGAUAAGUGUCACACGGGUGACACAAACACACGGCAACUUCGAAUAUUUUUCAGACAAGUUUAGUGACAUGAGGAUGAAUACUUUCUUUUCAAAUGGCAGGUUUACUUUUUUUAGGCUUUUUUUCAGAUGGCAAUUUUAGUUGUAAAAAACGUCAGGUCCAGAUUGCUUCGUGCAUGACACUUAUCAUUUGGGUAAAUGGUCGAGAGUAGUAGUAGCCUGCCACUACCUCCACCGUAUUGAACAUUGCUUGCAGCUUGAGCUGAGUAGCUGAAACUGCCAGUUCCAAUCCAGCCGAUGGAGACUGCGGCACUUCAGAAUCCAGAUGAAACUGUAUAACGAGACAUAACGGUAGACAGGUAGAGGAAACUCAAUAUUUAGAUUCUCAACAUUAUGCCUCUAGGUAAUGAAUAAUAAAAAUCUUCCUUACAAAUAGUAGUUAUGUACUGGGCAUUAUCUGUGUAUGUAUAGCAACAAUUUCAAAUAGUUUAUUCUGAUAUUUACUGGGCAUUAUCUAUGUAUAUGUAUGGCAACACUGAACAUAUAUAUGGCUAGAAAAUAGUCAAGAAUAUUCAGGGACAACUGUAGUUCUCGCAAAACGAAAUACACCUUCUGUUCCUAAAUGUAAGACGUUAAUUGAACUGCCAAAACAGCUUACAUUUAGGAACAGAGGUAGUACUUAAAAAUCUCAAACAACAUAACUUACAAACAGCAUCAACAGGCCACUAAAUUCUGGGAGUAAACUGUACUAGGCACAUAGCUGUCAAAAACAAAAUACAGGGAACUGGUUCCAGAGAUGAAAAAGAGGAAUAAUAUUGUAAGUACAGAUUGUGUGGUACUAGUACAGUUGCACCGAGGGCUCAUGCAUAAAGCCAAGCCACUGACAUGGCAAUUACUAGUAUUCUCGCCAUCUUAAUGCUCAUAUGCACUCACACUCGGUUGCAUCCUAAUGUGAUUGACCAUAUGAAUUACAGCACCACCAACACUUGCAUAUAUGACUUGAACAGGCAUCACUACAGAGAAGGGCGGCCAUAUAAAAAAGCAGGAAGGACUAAACAGGAACGCUGAGCAUAGAAACAGAACAUGCAAGUAACAAAGGACGUACAGUUGCAAAUAACAGCAUAUUUUGAACAAAAGAUGUGAAGCCCUCUGCCGCUUCCCAGGGCCCUCAAAUAAAGUAGAACCUCUUGAUGCAUCAGUAAGUAAAAGCAUUCUGAGUAUGUAAGUGUAAAAUAGCACAAAAUCCAGUUUGCUAUGAGCAUAUCUUGUAAGUUCCACAGAUGAUAACAUAUAUUACAGUGAGAUCCCAAUACUGCUAUAGUUCAUUAAUAGAUUGAGAAUAUUCAAAAACAUACAUAAGCAAAUAACCACAGAUUGUAGAAAGAGAGGUCAUAUUUAUCAAUAAAAAUGGGAGGCUCAGAGUUGGCUUGUCUAUCAUAUGGUCAACCCACUCUGUAUAGUGUAUCCUUGGUGAUCCGCGUUGGAGAUGCCCUUACACCCGUGUGACAUUUGAGCAUUGAAAUGGUUGCUCACAGAAAGCAAGCCGUCCCGAUUUGCACACUUCCACCUAGUCACACAAAACCCUAACCCAAAACCAUACCCGUAAAACAAGCAAUAGUAUCUGAACUCAGUACACCUCUAAUGAGCCUUACUCAUCAUCGCCAUCAACAGAACUUAGCACAAAUUCCACAAACAGAAUAACAGAGAAGCCAAUAGCAAAUCAUGAUCUGGUGGGCACAAAAGUUGGGACGUGUACAAGUAAAUGGCUCAGAUAUACCCCCAGCUCAACACCAUAACUGAACUUCUGGUAGAAGGACCAUGGAAUCUCUCUCUCUCCCUCUCUCUCUCCCUCCCUCCGUCCCUCCCUCCCUCCCUCCCUCCACUGUUAAGUGUAUUCAUAAUUCCAACAUUUAAGAAUUAUAGUUAGCCGCUAAACUGGUUACUUGCUGUCACACAAGCCCUCCUAGUUUAGUACCAACUGAAUCAGUUCAG
rnacentral:lncRNA from 1 species